rnacentral:rRNA from 1 species
UGGGGAAUAUUGGGCAAUGGGCGCAAGCCUGACCCAGCAACGCCGCGUGAAGGAAGAAGGCUUUCGGGUUGUAAACUUCUUUUAUGAGGGACGAAGGACGUGACGGUACCUCAUGAAUAAGCCACGGCUAACUACGUGCCAGCAGCCGCGGUAAUACGUAGGUGGCGAGCGUUGUCCGGAUUUACUGGGUGUAAAGGGCGCGUAGGCGGGUAGGCAAGUCAGAUGUGAAAUCUCCGGGCUCAACCCGGAAACUGCAUUUGAAACUGUCUAUCUUGAGUAUCGGAGAGGCAAGCGGAAUUCCGUGUGUAGCGGUGAAAUGCGUAGAUAUACGGAGGAACACCAGUGGCGAAGGCGGCUUGCUGGACGACAACUGACGCUGAGGCGCGAAAGCGUGGGGAGC